rnacentral:sRNA from 1 species
UGCUGCUUAUUGUAUGUGAAUUUUUUAUUUACACAGGUAAAGGAAAUGCGCAUAAAUAAAUUUUUGGAGGUACCAACAUGGAAACAGGUACAGUAAAAUGGUUUAACUCAGAAAAAGGAUUCGGAUUCAUCCAACUUGAAGAUGGAAACGAUGUAUUCGUUCACUUCAGCGCUAUUCAAGGUGAAGGUUUCAAAACUCUUGAAGAAGGCCAAAAAGUUGAAUUCAACGUUGUUGAAGGCCAACGCGGACCUCAAGCAGAAAACGUUACUAAACUUUAAUUUUCUGACUUAACCGUCUAAAGUCUUGAUUCAUUUUUAUGAAUCAAGGCUUU